UACGGAGGGUGCGAGCGUUGUCCGGAAUCACUGGGCGUAAAGGGCGCGUAGGCGGCUUCUCAAGCGUGUGGUGAAAGUCCGGGGCUCAACCCCGGAUCGGCCGUGCGGACUGGGGAGCUCGAGUUCUGUAGAGGCGGGUGGAAUUCCCGGUGUAGCGGUGGAAUGCGUAGAGAUCGGGAAGAACAUCAGUGGCGAAGGCGGCCUGCUGGGCUGUUGCUGACGCUGAGGCGCGACAGCGUGGGGAGCAAACAGG
rnacentral:rRNA from 1 species